CUUUUGCUGCUCAGAUGAUUUUGAAGGCUCUUCUUUUAUUAUUGCUUUCAGAGCAUUUUUAUGAACCACAAAGGAAAAAUAAGCAAAUUACUCUAUAGUAACACUUUGUUCUUGACCCCAAACGGUCUUACCCAGAUUGCUUUCUCCUCUUUUUCAUAGGACAAACAACUCCCUAUGACUGUUGGUUGUCUUCCAGAUCAAACUGAGGCUCAAAGGAGGAAAAGGAAAUUUUAAAAGGACAAGCUGCAGCUUUUGAAGAUAAUUCUCAUAAAGGAAUUUCCAAAGUAUUACAGAGCAGUGAAUAAUAUUACCAAAAUGAGAGCUGGAUGUGGGCAAUUGGUUGCCCUGUGCAGAUGGAGAUCCAUCCUGCCCAUCUCUAUCAACCAUGGCACAUAGCAGACAAUAUUACUAUCGUCCUUACAAUAGAAGCCAAAACACAAUCUGGCAAAAGUACAAGGCAGCAAUCUCAAGAUGCAAUGAGCAGCACAAUUAUACCAGAGUAAUAACUAAGUAAGGGCCAUCAGAGCUUUGUACAAGGGAGUCCUAUUUCGAGAAUGUUAAAAGCACUUUAAUUCUUGAGCUAAGAGAAACAAUAAAACUCAAUGAGCUCU